AAGCCAAUAAAUGAAUCUCUUUCUUUUACUUUCAAAGUAAAUGCUUUUGUAUAAGCUAAUUAGCUU
rnacentral:tRNA from 1 species